UCGAGCUUCCUGCAGUUAAUUGUUCAGACUGGUGCGUGCUACUGAAGAGCGAGCAUUACCACUCACAGCUCUCUUCAGCCUUCCCACAUUUGCACUUUUCUGCUCUUGUCACCAGUUGCAGCUGGGGUUUGUGCCUGAUUGGUCACUCGAGUAAUCCACUUGUGGCACUGUGUUGCUUCUGCCAGCCAAUCUUGGUCGGCGGCAUGUCUUCCAAAUCUGAAAUGUCUUCAUUCGAGGUUUCGUCAUCGACCUCCUCAACAGAAUCCAAGUUUCCGUCAGCUUCAUUCAUGUCUGAUUCCUCCUCAGCAUGGAUAUUAAUGAAUGAUAUGGAUAUAGAUUAAACUUCCGUCCGAAGCAUUUGUCACACUGGUGACGAGCAUAGGGUUUGGCUGUAUAAAUACCAUUCAUGUUGACUCUGCAAAGGAUGACCUUUAAAUGACACGAAACAAGUGAAAGCGUUCCAUAUAUC